rnacentral:snoRNA from 1 species
AACUGAUGAUGUGGAAUUGCGUGAGCAUAGUCAUUGAAGCGCUCAUAGGCUUCAGCAAUAUUCUCAGUAGCAUACUGAGCAAAGGUAGCUAUCCUGCUCCUCAGGUU